AAAACAGAAGCAUUCGGGAAUAUUUUUAGGUUAGGUAUCAUGAGAGUAUAGCAUUGUUUGUUUGGUUGUGUAUGGCUGCUUUGUAUAUAUAUAUA